GCAUGACUCUGAAAGGGCCAGCUCCUCCAGGGUCAGAGGGCAGGCAGGACGUGACUCAGGCUGGACCAGACUCACAGCAGGACAGGACUCAAACUGGACUAGGUCCACAAUGCUGGUAGUGAUGCUCACAGGACUGGGAGGUCGGGACUCAAGAAUAACGGGACAAACAGGAUUACUGGGCCUCACUUUUCUCCUAGUGGUGCUCCGAGGGUUGCUCGGCCUCCCCUCAGGUCUGGAAGGCUGUACAUAAGACUGGACCAGGCCAACGGGGCUAACAGGCCGUCUAUUGGGGCAUUGAGGGUUGCUAGUCCUCCCCUCAGGUCUGGAAGGCUGUACGUCAGGCUGGACCAGGACAACUGGUCUAACAGGCCGUCUAGUGGGGCAUCGAGAGUUGCUUGGCCUCCCCUCAGGUCUGGAAGGCUGUACGUCAGGCUGGACCAGGACAACUGGUCUAACAGGCCGUCUAGUGGGGCGUCGAGAGUUGCUUGGCCUCCCCUCAGGUCUGGAAGGCUGUACGUCAGGCUGGACCAGGCCAACGGGGCUAACAGGCCGUCUAGUGGGGCGUCGAGAGUUGCUAGGCCUCCCCUCAGGUCUGGAUGGCUGUACGUCAGGCUGGACCAGGCCAACGGGGCUAACAGGCCGUCUAGUGGGGCGUCGAGAGUUGCUAGGCCUCCCCUCAGGUCUAGUGAUGCUGACAGGGAUUCUAGGAAUCAUCAUCUCAUGCUGGUGCAGGCUCUCUGGGCUGCUGGGCCGGGAAUCAGGUAGAAGCUUGUAGUUCUUCAGAACCUCAGUGAAGGAGAGCUCCUUGUUGCGCCUGCGUCUGUUGGUUUUGGCAGGCAGCUGGGAGCUGCUGCUGUUAAUCCAACCGGGAGACUCACGACAUCCAUCCUGG
rnacentral:lncRNA from 1 species